rnacentral:rRNA from 1 species
AUUGAACGCUGGCGGCAGGCCUAACACAUGCAAGUCGAACGGUAACAGGAAGAAGCUUGCUUCUUUGCUGACGAGUGGCGGACGGGUGAGUAAUGUCUGGGAAACUGCCUGAUGGAGGGGGAUAACUACUGGAAACGGUAGCUAAUACCGCAUAACGUCGCAAGACCAAACAGGGGGACCUUCGGGCCUCUUGCCAUCGGAUGUGCCCAGAUGGGAUUAGCUAGUAGGUGGGGUAACGGCUCACCUAGGCGACGAUCCGUAGCUGGUCUGAGAGGAUGACCGGCCACACUGGAACUGGGACACGGUCCAGACUCCUACGGGAGGCAGCAGUGGGGAAUAUUGCACAAUGGGCGCAAGCCUGAUGCAGCCAUGCCGCGUGUAUGAAGAAGGCCUUCGGGUUGUAAAGUACUUUCAGCGGGGAGGAAGGGAGUAAAGUUAAUACCUUUGCUCAUUGACGUUACCCGCAGAAGAAGCACCGGCUAACUCCGUG